GACGACGGGUAGCCGGCCUGAGAGGGCGACCGGCCACACUGGGACUGAGACACGGCCCAGACUCCUACGGGAGGCAGCAGUGGGGAAUAUUGCACAAUGGGCGGAAGCCUGAUGCAGCGACGCCGCGUGAGGGAUGACGGCCUUCGGGUUGUAAACCUCUUUCAGCAGGGACGAAGCGCAAGUGACGGUACCUGCAGAAGAAGCACCGGCCAACUACGUGCCAGCAGCCGCGGUAAGACGUAGGGUGCGAGCGUUGUCCGGAUUUAUUGGGCGUAAAGAGCUCGUAGGCGGCUUGUCGCGUCGACCGUGAAAACUUGGGGCUCAACCCCAAGCCUGCGGUCGAUACGGGCAGGCUAGAGUUCGGUAGGGGAGACUGGAAUUCCUGGUGUAGCGGUGAAAUGCGCAGAUAUCAGGAGGAACACCGGUGGCGAAGGCGGGUCUCUGGGCCGAUACUGACGCUGAGGAGCGAAAGCGUGGGGAGCGAACAGGAUUAGAUACCCUGGUAGUCCACGCUGUAAACGUUGGGCGCUAGGUGUGGGGGGCCUCUCCGGUUCCCUGUGCCGCAGCUAACGCAUUAAGCGCCCCGCCUGGGGGAG
rnacentral:rRNA from 1 species